CUUUCUGGUACUGGCGUUCGACACUGUGUGUUUGUUAGCGGUGUGGCUAAUUCAGCCACGGCUCGCUUAGGGUUGAUUUUGUGCGUCUAUUGGAAAGCCGUAUGAGAUGUUAACUGGUUAAUGUUUGCGACUGGUGUUUGGUCGGACUGCCUACUUGGCAUCCCGUUGCUGUCAGCCCCUUGCAUCUACACCGCUUCGCAUAGUACUGGCUCUGCUUUGGUGUGGCGGUUGGCUGCAUUAUCUAGUUUCUGUUAGCGUCAACUUCUGCUUCUAUACUGUUCAGUGCUCACGCCGGCCCUGUCAAUUUAACGUGGCUGACUGCUGCAGUGUCCGUAAUAUGUUGGAGGGUUCCUGCUGCAGUGCACGUGGUUUAGUCUGAACAUCAGUCCCCAGAAAUACGCUGCUGUCUUGUUCAGUUUGUCUAGUUUUGUUUUGUAUCAGUUUAAUUUUGCUUUGGUGCAUUAGUUGCUUUUCUUUUAUUUGCCUUUUCGUUGGAUGGUUCAU